rnacentral:ncRNA from 2 species
UUUUUGCACUAGGGGAGCUUUUUUGGCUGAGAGGACGUUUGUCCGACCCUUAUGACCCGAUCUAGAUAAUACUAGCGUGGGGAAGUGCAGGAGAAGAUUA